CCUACGGGGGGCUGCAGUGGGGAAUAUUGGACAAUGGGGGCAACCCUGAUCCAGCCAUGCCGCGUGUGUGAAGAAGGCCCUCGGGUUGUAAAGCACUUUCAGUGAGGAAGAACGCCUGGUGGUUAAUACCCAUCAGGAAAGACAUCACUCACAGAAGAAGCACCGGCUAACUCCGUGCCAGCAGCCGCGGUAAUACGGAGGGUGCGAGCGUUAAUCGGAAUUACUGGGCGUAAAGCGCGCGUAGGUGGCUUGAUAAGCCGGUUGUGAAAGCCCCGGGCUCAACCUGGGAACGGCAUCCGGAACUGUCAAGCUAGAGUGCAGGAGAGGUAGGUAGAAUUCCCGGUGUAGCGGUGAAAUGCGUAGAGAUCGGGAGGAAUACCAGUGGCGAAGGCGGCCUUCUGGACUGACACUGACACUGAGGUGCGAAAGCGUGGGUAGCAAACAGGAUUAGAUACCCCAGUAGUC
rnacentral:rRNA from 1 species